rnacentral:rRNA from 1 species
AACGAACGCUGGCGGCAUGCCUAACACAUGCAAGUCGAACGAAGCCUUCGGGCUUAGUGGCGCACGGGUGCGUAACGCGUGGGAACCUACCAUCAGGUUCGGAAUAACAGUUAGAAAUGACUGCUAAUACCGGAUAAUGUCUUCGGACCAAAGAUUUAUCGCCUUUUGAUGGGCCCGCGUUGGAUUAGCUAGUUGGUGGGGUAAAGGCCUACCAAGGCGACGAUCCAUAGCUGGUCUGAGAGGAUGAUCAGCCACACUGGGACUGAGACACGGCCCAGACUCCUACGGGAGGCAGCAGUGGGGAAUAUUGGACAAUGGGCGAAAGCCUGAUCCAGCAAUGCCGCGUGAGUGAUGAAGGCCUUAGGGUUGUAAAGCUCUUUUUACCAGGGAUGAUAAUGACAGUACCUGGAGAAUAAGCUCCGGCUAACUCCGUGCCAGCAGCCGCGGU